rnacentral:lncRNA from 12 species
GGAAAGUCCAGAGGAAGCCUUGACACAUUUGCCUCAAUAAUUCAGCCUUCCACAUCCUGGAAAAUGCAGUUUGCUGGCCUGCAGGUUGGAAAGGUGAAGCUUUUCCUCUGGAAAGAUCCAUGGGAGUCAGCGGUGCACAAAAUAUUCAGUGCAAUGCAGACCACAGAGGUGGAAAUAGAGAGCCUGGGAAUGUGUCUGAUGCUGGCAGUGCUGAUGUGGUCUGAGCUGAGCAGAGGGGACAACUCGAGGUGGGUUGUGUCACCAGCUGAGGAGAUGUGGAUGGAGAAACCCUGCCAUGAGAGAACCUUUGGAGCAUUUCCCCAGCAUUCACCCAGAAGCAGCCUGAAGGAAAACCCACCAACUUUUCCCAAAGAAAAACAACUCCCAGUUGCCUACCUAUUUUGGAAGUGGGCUGUAAGUCAAGCAGCUUUUCAUCUUGGGAGAGAUGCUUUUUAAAAACGGUGUGAAGUGCAGCAAUUUAUCAGGGAGGAUUGGCUGCUGGAAAGGUUCCCUCAUCCCAGACCUGAGUCAGGCCUCAGCUUUCCUGGCUGGAGAGAGAGCUGCCAGCCCUGGCAGAGCAGAGCAUCCUCUGGAAGCAGAAAGGUCCCUAAAAGUGCUGCCAUUCCCUGGUGAGGCUGUGCCAGCAUCCAGGACCCACAGCAGCCCCACCACUGCUCACCAAGUGUGGGACACAUUUGUUUUUCCUGCUUUGCUGAGCACAAGAAGGUUGCAAAGCCCAGGUUCAGCCCUUUCCAAAAUCACUUAAUAAAAGGAUUCCUGACUUUUCCAGCCUUGGAAAAAAAUCCCUUUGGAGCACCAAGGAGAGGAAGUGCAGUGCCUGCAGUUAGGGAGAAAUCCCUGUGGUGAUGACUGCACUGAGAGCCCAUACAGGAAAACAAACACAUUCAGGACAAUAAAUCCAAUCUUUCCAAGCUUUCCCAGGAGAUGGGAUUGCUGUUGGAAGCAGUGGAACCUUGGGACUGUGUCACACACCUCCUGUCCUGAUUCUACCACAGAGGGGGGAUUAAUCUGAGAAAAGUUUCUGAUGCUUGUUAAAAUUUGGCUGAAGCUCUGAAACUGAAGGGGGUUUUAUGUUUUCCAAUCUGGGUGGGUGGUUCAUUCUAAUUCUGGAUAUGCAGUUUAUUCACAUACACAACUAAUCCUUUUUCUGAAUCCUGUUAAGUUCUUGUUCUUCUCAGUAUCCUGUGGCAAUAAGUUCCAGCAGCUAAUUGUGCUUGUGUUGAGCUCCCUUGAUCCACUUUACUCAUGCUUGCUUUAAAAUUUAAGUGUUGUUCUCAGAAGCUUGGUUAUUUUUUUUUUUCCUGGGAGA